AUUGAACGCUGGCGGCAGGCCUAACACAUGCAAGUCGAACGGUAACAGGAAACAGCUUGCUGUUUCGCUGACGAGUGGCGGACGGGUGAGUUAUGUCUGGGAAACUACCUGAUGGAGGGGGAUCACUACUGGAAACGGUAGCUACUACCGCAUAACGUCGCAAGACCAAAGAGGGGGACCUUCGGGCCUCUUGCCAUCGGAUGCGCCCAGAUGGGAUUAGCUAGUAGGUGGGGUAACGGCUCACCUAGGCGACGAUCCGUAGCUGGUCUGAGAGGAUGACCAGCCACACUGGAACUGAGACACGGUCCAGACUCCUACGGGAGGCAGCAGUGGGGAAUAUUGCACAAUGGGCGCAAGCCUGAUGCAGCCAUGCCGCGUGUAUGAAGAAGGCCUUCGGGUUGUAAAGUACUUUCAGCGGGGAGGAAGGGAGUAAAGUUAAUACCUUUACUCAUUGACGUUACCCGCAGAAGAAGCACCGGCUAACUCCGUG
rnacentral:rRNA from 1 species